UGGCUCAGGAUGAACGCUGGCGGCGUGCCUAAUACAUGCAAGUCGAGCGAAUGGAUUAAGAGCUUGCUCUUAUGAAGUUAGCGGCGGACGGGUGAGUAACACGUGGGUAACCUGCCCAUAAGACUGGGAUAACUCCGGGAAACCGGGGCUAAUACCGGAUAACAUUUUGAACCGCAUGGUUCGAAAUUGAAAGGCGGCUUCGGCUGUCACUUAUGGAUGGACCCGCGUCGCAUUAGCUAGUUGGUGAGGUAACGGCUCACCAAGGCAACGAUGCGUAGCCGACCUGAGAGGGUGAUCGGCCACACUGGGACUGAGACACGGCCCAGACUCCUACGGGAGGCAGCAGUAGGGAAUCUUCCGCAAUGGACGAAAGUCUGACGGAGCAACGCCGCGUGAGUGAUGAAGGCUUUCGGGUCGUAAAACUCUGUUGUUAGGGAAGAACAAGUGCUAGUUGAAUAAGCUGGCACCUUGACGGUACCUAACCAGAAAGCCACGGCUAACUACGUGCCAGCAGCCGCGGUAAUACGUAGGUGGCAAGCGUUAUCCGGAAUUAUUGGGCGUAAAGCGCGCGCAGGUGGUUUCUUAAGUCUGAUGUGAAAGCCCACGGCUCAACCGUGGAGGGUCAUUGGAAACUGGGAGACUGA
rnacentral:rRNA from 1 species